GAUGAACGCUGGCGGCGUGCCUAAUACAUGCAAGUCGAGCGAACGGACGAGAAGCUUGCUUCUCUGAUGUUAGCGGCGGACGGGUGAGUAACACGUGGAUAACCUACCUAUAAGACUGGGAUAACUUCGGGAAACCGGAGCUAAUACCGGAUAAUAUUUUGAACCGCAUGGUUCAAAAAGUGAAAGACGGUCUUGCUGUCACUUAUAGAUGGAUCCGCGCUGCAUUAGCUAGUUGGUAAGGUAACGGCUUACCAAGGCAACGAUGCAUAGCCGACCUGAGAGGGUGAUCGGCCACACUGGAACUGAGACACGGUCCAGACUCCUACGGGAGGCAGCAGUAGGGAAUCUUGGACAAUGGGCGCAAGCCUGAUCCAGCCAUACCGCGUGGGUGAAGAAGGCCUUCGG
rnacentral:rRNA from 1 species